rnacentral:rRNA from 1 species
CGGGGUGCACCAGGCGCGAAAACUUUACAAUGCUGGAAACAGCGAUAAGGGGACCUCGAGUGCCAGGUUACAAAUCUGGCUGUCGUGAUGCCUAAAAAGCAUUGCAUAGCAAGGGCCGGGCAAGACCGGUGCCAGCCGCCGCGGUAACACCGGCGGCUCGAGUGGUAACCGUUAUUAUUGGGUCUAAAGGGUCUGUAGCCGGCCAGAUAAGUCUCUUGGGAAAUCCAGCAGCUCAACUGUUGGGCUUUCAGGAGAUACUGUCUGGCUCGAGGCCGGGAGAGGUGAGAGGUACUUCAGGGGUAGGGGUGAAAUCUUGUAAUCCUUGAAGGACCACCAGUGGCGAAGGCGUCUCACCAGAACGGACCUGACGGCAAGGGACGAAAGCUAGGGGCACGAACCGGAUUAGAUACCCGGGUAGUCCUAGCCGUAAACGAUACUCGCUAGGUGUCGGCCACGGUGCGACCGUUGUCGGUGCCGUAGGGAAGCCGUGAAGCGAGCCACCUGGGAAGUACGGCCGCAAGGCUGAAACUUAAAGGAAUUGGCGGGGGAGCACAAGGGCGAUUCGC